CGAAAAAAGGAAAUACGCGGUUUGCAACCUGUGUUCCUAAAUAAAUCACUGAGUAAAUCCAUCCUUUCCACUUCCAAUCAACCUCGGGUCCUAAAAAAAUCAUUGCUUUCUCUUUUCCCAUUCCUUAUUCAUCUCAUAUUCCAUGUAUUCCGACACAUCUUUCCAUCGAUUCACUUCAACUGUCAUCAAUGGUUUAUCUUUUCCCAAACCAGAGUCAGUAAUAUGUUGAUUUGUGUUGAAUUCGUAUCUAUAAAUAGGUCAAUUUUCAGACGGUGUCGGGUCGAAGGUGAUUCAUGUGUUUUGCGUAAUAGUGGCGAGAUCAUUUGGUGAAAAUUGAUGGGACUGGGUAGAGGUAGGGUUCCAUUUGGUGCACUCAACAACAAAUCGGAAGUCAAUGAUGUUAGUAGUGGUGGUUCUUCUGAUGGAUCUGAAGGUAGUAUUGUCGAUUUUACUGAAGAGGAAGUAGAUGCUUUGCAGGAUGAGAAGAUGAAAAAGGAGAGAUUCCUCAUGAUACUGAGAAGAAAUGGAGAAUGUGGUGGAUCUUAUCAAGAGACUUAAGCAAUAUAUAAGAUGAUUUAAGGGAAGAAAAGAAAAGCUUCAGACAGAUCUUGAAAGAAAUACAGUGAUAGUGCUAUCUAUAUGGCGUUGCAAUGACGAGGUUCGUGUUAGGGCUGAUGAGCUCCGUAGAUCAUCUUAGAGAGAUGCAGAACAUUAGAUUUGUAUGUAAAUCGACGAAUUUCUUGCAGUUCUAUACUUUGACAUUGAAACGUGCCAGUUUGGAUUAAUUAGCAUGGUGUGUUGUACCAUUAAGCAGUUUCUUACAAGGUCCGGCUAGGUAUCGAAGAUACACUAUUGAGGAAAUAGAAGAAGGGACAAAAUACUUUUCCAACUCACUGAAGUUGGUGAAGUAGGUUAUGGACCAGUCUAUAGGGCUGAAUUAGAUCUCACUGCAUUUGCAAUAAAAGUGUUGAAACCCGGUGCAGCUCAAGGAUGGUUGCAAUUUCAACACGAGAUUGAAGUUGUGAUUAGCAUAAGGCAUCCAAACAUGGUUCUUUUAUUUGAAGUGUUUCCGGGGUUCGGUUGCUUACUGUAUGUGCACAUAACUAAUGGAACUGUUUGUCUGUCACACUUUUGAUAUUUGUCAUUAAAACUGAACAACCAUUUUCAACUCUGUUUGUUGAUAUACUCAAUCAUGACUUGGAUUUUAUUUAGUUUUUAUAUUGCUUACACCAAAUGAGUAUGUUUGAGAGAUUUAUUUGUUAUAGUUUCUCUAUAAUGCAAACCUAUGUCUUUUGCUAAAUGAUAAGGCUAAACAACUUUUUUCCAGGCUGGUAGUUUUUCAUUGUUUAAUCUAUUGUUGCGUUUGUGUUUCUGUUAAACCAGUUUAGAUACAUGGUCUGUAUCCUAUAUGAUAAGGAAAUAUCAGUUUAUUUGAAUUUAGAACAAUAUUAAGUUGAGAGUUAGAAAAUAGAAACACAAUUUUAAGCAAUAUUGUAUACAGACUCCACAGUCCAGUUGUUUUAUCUUAGACAUUUUUUAAUUAGUUCUCACAGUCCUCCUUGAAUGAAAGCAACUCACUAAGCUAUAAAAAAAGUAUAUGGACUACUAAACAUGAUUGAAAGUCAAUUUGGACUAAAGAUAAAUUGUAUUUUGACUAAACAAAAAGUGUAUUUAUGGUGAAAGAAAUUCAUGUAUUUAGAUUCAAUUGUUAUUUAGUAUUGUUGUAACUGAAACUACUCAUGUGUUGUUUGUGCUCUGUGCUGGC